GACGAACGCUGGCGGCGUGCUUAACACAUGCAAGUCGAACGGAAAGGCCCUGCUUUUGUGGGGUGCUCGAGUGGCGAACGGGUGAGUAACACGUGAGUAACCUGCCCUUGACUUUGGGAUAACUUCAGGAAACUGGGGCUAAUACCGGAUAGGAGCUCCUGCUGCAUGGUGGGGGUUGGAAAGUUUCGGCGGUUGGGGAUGGACUCGCGGCUUAUCAGCUUGUUGGUGGGGUAGUGGCUUACCAAGGCUUUGACGGGUAGCCGGCCUGAGAGGGUGACCGGCCACAUUGGGACUGAGAUACGGCCCAGACUCCUACGGGAGGCAGCAGUGGGGAAUAUUGCACAAUGGGCGGAAGCCUGAUGCAGCAACGCCGCGUGCGGGAUGACGGCCUUCGGGUUGUAAACCGCUUUCGCCUGUGACGAAGCGUGAGUGACGGUAAUGGGUAAAGAAGCACAGGCUAGCUACGUG
rnacentral:rRNA from 1 species